AAGAAGCGAAGCGGUGGACGUGGAGCAAACCUCAGAAAGCCAAUCUCAGUUCGGAUUGUAGGCUGCAACUCGCCUACAUGAAGUUGGAAUCGCUAGUAAUCGCGAAUCAGAAUGUCGCGGUGAAUACGUUCCCGGGUCUUGUACACACCGCCCGUCACACCACGAGAGUUUACAACACCCGAAGUCAGUGGCCUAACCGCAAGGAAGGAGCUGCCUAAGGUGGGGUAGAUGAUUGGGGUGAAGUCGUAACAAGGUACC
rnacentral:rRNA from 1 species